CGCCUCUUGAUAAAAUAUAAGAGGUCUAGCCUGCCCAGUGACUCUGUUUAACGGCCGCGGUAUCCUAACCGUGCGAAGGUAGCGUAAUCACUUGUUCUUUAAAUGAGGACUAGUAUGAAUGGCACCACGAGGGUUAUACUGUCUCCUUUCUCUAAUCAGUGAAACUAAUCUUCCCGUGAAGAAGCGGGAAUGAAACUAUAAGACGAGAAGACCCUAUGGAGCUUUAAACAAAAUAACAAUUGCUUAUUUAUUACUAAAUUCCAGAAAUUUAAAUAUUAUCAAAGCACUCUGAUUAUUAGUUUUAGGUUGGGGUGACCGCGGAGUAAAAAUUAACCUCCACAUUGAAAGGAUUCUUUUCCUAAGCAAAAAGCUACGACUUUAUGCAUCAAUAAAUUGACAUUAAUUGACCCAAUAUUUUGAUCAACGAACCAAGUUACCCUAGGGAUAACAGCGCAAUCCACUUCAAGAGCCCCUAUCGACAAGUGGGUUUACGACCUCGAUGUUGGAUCAGGGUGUCCCGGUGGUGCAGCCGCUACCAAAGGUUCGUUUGUUCAACGAUUAAAACCCU
rnacentral:rRNA from 1 species